GGACGGCAGCAUUGCAUUCGUGCAGAUGGCGAGUGGCGAACGGGUGAGUAAUACAUCGGAACAUACCAUGAAGUUGGGGAUCACUCAUCGAAAGAUGAGCUAAUACCGAAUAAUCUCUGAGGAGGAAAGCUGGGGACUAGAAAUGGCCUGGCGCUUUUUGAGUGGCCGAUGGUCGAUUAGCUAGUUGGUGGGGUAAAGGCUUACCAAGGCAAUGAUCGAUAGCUGUUCUGAGAGGAAGAUCAGCCACACUGGGACUGAGACACGGCCCAGACUCCUACGGGAGGCAGCAGUGGGGAAUUUUGGACAAUGGGGGCAACCCUGAUCCAGCAACGCCGCGUGAAUGAAGAAGGCCUUAGGGUCGUGAAGUUCUUUUAUUUGGGGGCAAAGCUUGUGUGUUAAUAGCAUAUGGGGAUGAGAGUACCAAAAGAAUAAGCACCGGCUAACUACGUGCCAGCAGCCGCGGUAAUACGUAGGGUGCGAGCGUUAAUCGGAAUUAUUGGGCGUAAAGGGUGCGUAGGCGGAUAUAUAAGUUAGAUGUGAAAAGCCAGGGCUUAACCUUGGUCGUGCAUUUAAGACUGUAUGUCUAGAGUUUGUAAGAGGGGGGUAGAAUUCCAAGUGUAGCAGUGAAAUGCGUAGAGAUUUGGAGGAAUACCGAUGGCGAAGGCAGCCCCCUGGUAUAGAACUGACGCUGAGGCACGAAAGCGUGGGUAGCAAACAGGAUUAGAUACCCUGGUAGUCCACGCCCUAAACGAUGUUUACUUGCUGUUGGGAGCAAUCUUAGUAGCGAAGCUAACGCGAGAAGUAAACCGCCUGGGGAGUACGGUCGCAAGAUUAAAACUCAAAGGAAUUGACGGGGACCCGCACAAGCGGUGGAUGAUGUGGAUUAAUUCGAUGCAACGCGAAGAACCUUACCUGCUCUUGACAUGUCAG
rnacentral:rRNA from 1 species